rnacentral:rRNA from 1 species
UAGGGAAUCUUCCGCAAUGGACGCAAGUCUGACGGAGCAACGCCGCGUGAGUGAUGAAGGUUUUCGGAUCGUAAAGCUCUGUUGUUAGGGAAGAACAAGUACCGUUCGAAUAGGGCGGCACCUUGACGGUACCUAACCAGAAAGCCACGGCUAACUACGUGCCAGCAGCCGCGGUAAUACGUAGGUGGCAAGCGUUGUCCGGAAUUAUUGGGCGUAAAGGGCUCGCAGGCGGUUUCUUAAGUCUGAUGUGAAAGCCCCCGGCUCAACCGGGGAGGGUCAUUGGAAACUGGGGAACUUGAGUGCAGAAGAGGAGAGUGGAAUUCCACGUGUAGCGGUGAAAUGCGUAGAGAUGUGGAGGAACACCAGUGGCGAAGGCGACUCUCUGGUCUGUAACUGACGCUGAGGCUCGAAAGCGUGGGGAGCAAACA